UUGUAUUCUCUCCAGCUCAUACUGUCUGAUUCUGCAAUUUCAUUGUCCAAUGUGGUGUAUUAAAGAAUCCAAGAUUCCCCAAAGCUAGUGAACAGUUGCUGGAGCCACUUGUGAAAGAUCUUGUUUAGCAACAACAGUUGUCAAUUUACCUUGGGUGCUUUUGUCUAUCAGUCGGGGCAUAGGUUUUUUUCUUAUGUUUGGCAUAUUAGGCGAAUAGGCAAAGUUUGAGAUUUGCAAUUGAGACCUGCUGUGAGAAGACGACUAUAAAAUAGCAUGCUACUCAAGCAGAUUGUGAGCUUCAACUCAAACCAUGAGUUCUAGACCCUAUUUGAGUUUGGUUACUCUACUCUACCUCUUGACUAGAACCAGAAUAGGACAAGGCUGCACUUCUUUUCCUCCUCUUUCCGUUAAGAUUGCUUAUUCUAAGAUGAUGGAUAUGGGAUGGAUGCUUCCCAGCAUUUCCAGUUCAGCUCUAACAGUCCUGGAUGCUGUUCUUGUAAACAGGAUUGGCUCUACGAGAGAAUAUCUUAAGGAAAAAUUGAAGUGAUAUUCGUCAAUGGUAGUAUUUUGCCGGAUCCUUUGGUUCUCAUGGCGAUUUGCAAUUUCACAAACACCAUCCACACUUUGAUGGCAAAGUCACAGUUCAAAGCAACAAUGAAAAGAAGUACAAGCCCGUGUUAGAUCAGUGCAUCCUGAUAGCAAAGGAGAAUGUCCUAGGUACAUUGAAGUUCUAUUCAAGACCUGCUUUUCAAAGUGAUCUUGUUUCUUAGAGACCAUCAAUUUCUUAGCUCUGGCCCAAAAUUCUCAUUCCGUUUAAUGACUUCAUUUUGGAGGCCCAAAAUUCAGGUUCUCGUAUCUGUGUUAGUUAUGACAGAAGGGGUGGAUUACUAUCCUUUAGUUUGGGUCCAAAAAGUAUUCAACUCUCCGCUGAUCUGUCGUCUUCCUUUGUCAGAAGUAACGUCUCCGUCCUCCUCCUUGGUGUGAGCCAUUCUGUCGGCCAUAUUUUCCUGAUUGUCCUUUUUGAGCGGGAUGGGCGCCAUCCCUUGUGAAUCGUUGACCAGCUUCUCGACAUCCUUCAUUGAUAGACUUCUGUGGACGUGGUUUGUAAUAAUAUGGCAAUGCAGAAAAAAGUUGAUAGAGCUGCCUCCACUGGAAAAGAUUUCGAGUAUUUGGAGGAAGAAAAGAGUUUCUUUUCUGGUGGAGUUUAUCAUAGUAUGGAUCCUGGAUUAUUUUCCACUCAACGUGUCAUAUAUAGUCAGUCAUUGAUGCUGCUGCCCCAUUUGACGUUGAAAUCCCCUGAAAGAAAGUUUUCUUUGCGAUCAUUGUGAUGAUUUUUUUUUUUUGGAUACUUUUACUAACACUCCAAAAGAACCAAUGGUGCUAAUUCUCCGCCAGCUCACCAUUGGUUCUUUUGGAGUGUUCUUUUGGAGUGUUACUUUAGUGAUACUUUUACUUUAGCCCGCGGAGAAUUAGCACCAUUGGUUCUUUUGGAGUGUAGCUAUUAUGCGGCGGACAAGCAGAAUAUUUGGGAACAAACUUUUAUGCGCUGACGCUAUUCAAUCGUUUUUUUUUUUU